rnacentral:lncRNA from 1 species
UAUUUUUCAGUAUUAUAAUACGUUUGACCCAUUAACCUUCUCUAAUCUGACACGACCCAUUUUUUUUUUCUUUUAACCCACCAUUUCUUCAUGUUUUGGCCCAGCCCAUCCAUUUUUUUCAAAAAAAAUCUCUAAUCUGGUCCAGCCCAACCUUUUUUUUCUUUUUUCACUUAUAUGGCCCAUGAGUGGAGGUGGGCCCACGGGCCUUAACAGGUCCUGGCCGGCCCGGCUUCAUGCCGUGCCCGGGCUGGGAGGCUGCAUUUUGGGCCUGGCCCGGCCCCAUUAUCCCUUGUCGGGCGGGUUCGGCCUGUUGGCCAUCUAUAGUCGGGGUGCCUAGUGUGGAGAUGGGAAGCGGCCGGCCGCCACCUGGCCAUGUUACAUGCCAAUCCAUAUUGUUGUUCCAUGGUUUGGCAUGUGUGCAUUAAAGCCAAAAUCUGGUCUAAACAAGAACUGCCGUGAUGAACUUAUGCUAUGAAAAAUCAGAACAACUAGAUGAUCCCCGCGCGU